rnacentral:rRNA from 1 species
UACAGAGACUGCAAGCGUUAUUCGGAUUCACUGGGCGUAAAGGGUGCGCAGGCGGCCGUGUGUGUGAGGCGUGAAAGCCCGGGGCUUAACCCCGGAAUUGCACCUCAAACUACACGGCUAGAGCAUUGGAGAGGGUAGCAGAAUUCACGGUGUAGCAGUGAAAUGCGUAGAUAUCGUGAGGAAUACCAGAGGCGAAGGCGGGUCUCUGGACAGUUCCUGACACUGAGGCACGAAGGCCAGGGGAGCAAACGGG